rnacentral:rRNA from 1 species
UACGUAGGGUGCAGGCGUUAAUCGGAAUUACUGGGCGUAAAGGGCUCGUAGGUGGCCAACUAAGUCGGAUGUGAAAUCCCCAAGCUUAACUUGGGAACUGCAUCCGAUACUGGAUGGCUUGAAUCCGGGAGAGGGAUGCAGAAUUCCAGGUGUAGCGGUGAAAUGCGUAGAUAUCUGGAGGAAUACCGGUGGCGAAGGCGGCAUCCUGGACCGGCAUUGACGCUGAGGAGCGAAAGCUAGGGGAGCAAACGGG